rnacentral:rRNA from 1 species
AUUGAACGCUGGCGGCAGGCCUAACACAUGCAAGUCGAACGAGUGGCGGACGGGUGAGUAAUGUCUGGGAAACUGCCUGAUGGAGGGGGAUAACUACUGGAAACGGUAGCUAAUACCGCAUACCAUCGGAUGUGCCCCUAUGGGAUGAGCUAGUAGGUGGGGUAACGGCUCACCUAGGCGACCAUCCCUAGCUGUGCUGAGAGGAUGACCACAAACACUGGAACGGUGAGCGGGUCCAGAAUCGUACGGGAGGCAGCAGUGGGGAAUAUUGCAAAAUGGGCGCAAGCCUGCUGCAGGCAAUCCGCGUGUAUGAAGAGGGCCUUCGGGUUGUAAAGUACUUUAAGCGGGGAGGCGUUACCCGAAGAAGAAGCACCGGCUAACUCCGCGCCAGCAGCGGCGGUAAUAC